GUAGAACUUUUAUAUACUGUAUUAUCAUUCAUUGAAUCUUGACUAUUUUUUCAGUUUAGUUUAUUAAUUUGCAAAAUACCAUAGUGUAGUUGAGUACAAAAGGAUUGUGCUUGUGAGAUUAAAAAAACCCCCAAAGGGGAUUAUUAAGUCACCAAAAAAAGAAAAAAACAUCUAAAAUCAAAGUUAGUUAAAGAUACAUACUGUACAUAUGUCAGUUGCUAAUUACAAGCAUAGCAUAUUGUACCACUGCUAGAAAAGAUACUAGGAGAAAGAAACAAGGCCACAACAAACAAAUUACUUAACAAAGUAGUUUGGCUCACCAAAUAAACUCUAAGCCUAAAUUUAAAGCUUUGUGAGGGAGGAAGAUUGUGUUGCUCCCCUGUAUCUGACAGGGGGAGAAAGACAGAAUUGACAGAGUUGUUCUAAAUCUUGGAAGAUGCAAAUGAUUUACAAGUUUGGCGCUACAUGUGUGGAUCACAGAAUUUGUCCAAAAAAAAAAAAGAAUAAUAAGGGUACCAAAUCAGGCAGAUAUUUGUAUUGAAAAUAGAAAGAAUUGAAAUCACUAAAAAGCUGGGCUGAAUGUUCCAUCUGACGACUAAGUCAACAAGUCUGACAAAUCUUUAUUGUAAAGAAAUGUAGUUUUAACUUCAGGAGUAGAAUCACACCUCAACCACACCUCUAAUCAUCUGCCAAGCCUACUUAUAUUGGGUCAACCUAUCCUACCCUGUUUAACUCAGAUUGUCUCGAGAUCAGACAGACCGUGCUUCUUGCCUGAACGCUUGAUACAAGAACUUCAAUUUAAACAAAGACACAACUUAAAAAUUGUCUACUUACCAUGGAUCCAGAACUGCGGAUCUACCCAACCGAUUCAGACAGCAAUAUGUGUGACGAUCAGUUUGACACCGGUACACCAGACUCGCAGCAACCAGACCGCAGCCAAACACCCCAGCGAAGUCGCUUGCGUUCGGUGGUUAGCGUACCUCAGUCCUGCCGGCGUAUCCAUUCAAGCUCCACCAAUGAGAUCUCUUGGACUCCAACCUCGGAGGCCCGCAAAUGUGAGGCCUCCUCUCCUCCUUCAGCGAAGGCUGGACGCCACGGGCAUGGUCCUAAGAGCCAGCUCCAACUCUCUCCUCAUCGGCAGCUAUCCCCAUUGCGCAGGCUUCCAGCUCCCAGCUCUCCACCAUGGCGCACCCGUAGUACACCCUCAUCUGCAAGGUGGCAGUCUUCGAUGUUACCUGUGAGGUAAAGGCAUCCCAUUUCACUGCAACGCAAACAAAGCCACACUUUUCCGACUGUAUUCAGCCUCCAUCAAUGCAGCAACAGACUCCAUACUUGCCACGCUUCCGGCUUCUUCACCUGAGCCACCAACUGCCAGUGUCGUCAGGAGUGACGUCCCAGGGCCUUCACUGCUUCAGCCACAGCCUGCGUCAUCAGCCCCCUCUGGUGGGGGCCAGGUUGUAUGUCUCCCUGUGCCUGCUCUCUCUGUUUCUGAUUUCUCCCAGAUGAUAUCAGCUUUCUUUUCAUCCCUGUCUUCACAGGCUUCACAAAAUCCCCGUGCACAUGUAUCCUUUCAUCCCAUCAUCCCUUCCUCUCCCCUUCCUUCAGCCGUUCUCAGCAACACGGCUUCUGCUCCUCCCUUUUCUUCCAUAGCCAACACAGCAGUAGGAGGGCUCCAUUCACCGACUCAAGGGGUCCCAUUACAGGCUACCCGAGCUGAUGUUCUUCAGCCUCCUCCUUCACUUCCAACUGGUCUAACCUUUACCCAUCCCCACCCCGUCCCUUUCUCAACAUCCAUUUGUUUUUUCUCAAUGUGCUACCAAUUUCAACCUUUCCACAGCAGCACCAACUGUCCAGCCAGCUUCAUCAGUUUAUCAUUUAUCGCCCUUCUCCUGUCUCUCCUGCACCGCGCCAACAUAUUCUCUCUAGUAGUUAGAUUUAAGCCAUCCUUAAGCAAUCCUCCAUCAACAUUAGCCAGCUCAGGGAAAUACAGACAAACUUCGGCACUGUGCAACUUCACAACCCACUACCCCCGCAGUCUAAAGACUUAACUCCCACAGAAUUUGCUCUUGCUUUUUCUCUUUACUGUCAUAUUAUCUGUUCAGCAUUUCCCACACGGAGAGCUGAGUUAGAUGAUUAUCUAUCUAUUGUGCUCGACAUGGCCUUUUUGUUUGGGAAGGACAAGGUUUUACAGCUACCACGUGCACUUCACUAAACAGGCAGCUGGCUGAGGAGAAAACAUCAAGGCCUGGCACUUCCAUUGAGUUCUGAGGCAUCGCCCUGGACUCAAUUUCCUUCAAGGCAUGUCUGCCCUCAGAGAAAUACAGCGCAUCUCUCUGCUCCUGUCAUUACCCUCUGGCAGACAGAUUCACCAAACGCCAGGAUAGGGUCGUUAUGGACGAUGCCUGCAAGAUGGAAAUGCACAUGUGGCUAAAUUUCCCAUCUUCUUGGAAUGGCAUUUCCUUCUUCUUGGCCGUCUGCUUCUCUGACAGAGGGAAGAGAGGCAGGGGUGCCAGCUGAGCAAGUGCUUUCCGCAUUACGCAGCCUCCGUGGCCGGCUGGAUGAAGGAGCCUGAGCCGCUAUCAUCCCAGCGUCAUGGAGGGCCGGAGAGGUGGAAGAAGGGAGGGUGGAGGAUUGUGCUCUUUGGAAAAUGGUUGCAGCAGAAAAGCAAAGCCUGAAAGUGAGACAACAUAUGACAGAGCAACCUGAAAAAGACAUGGGAGGCACAACAAAAGCUCAGACAAACAGAGGAGGCAAAACACAAGCUGAAAUGGUUAUCACAAGAUUGGGAAAGAAUUAAACAACACAGCAACCCUAUUCAUGUUACCUCAUCAGGUUGAUGCAAGCUGUCAUUUAUGAAAGACAAUGUGUGCGUGUGUGUGUGUGUGCAUGCGUGUGUGUGUGUAUGUGCAGGCCCUAUGGAUCUCAGUUGUUAUGUUGUCAACGCACAGCAUUUUUAACCCUCACUCUGCUAACUCUGUAAUCAUACAACUGUCUUGAGUUGUCUGAUGAGAUGAGCACUUGCAAGUCAUAAACAUGAGAAUCAUUCCCAUCCAUGUCUAUUUCAGCAUCCUGUUGCACUUGAACCUCAGUUGUUUUGUUCAUGCAAGAACAAAACAGCUUCACAAAUCCGUUCUCGACAUUUUUGCAACAAUAGAUCUACAGUGACAUUGUUCUUCUAAGGAUAUUGUACAAAAUGCUAAACAUGAUAGGAUACCAUCAAAGGAAAACUGUGAUAUAACUUGUUUUCUUAGCAUAGAGCUAUUUAGCUUUAUUAAAUUACACUAAUAAAGUGUUUUGCCCUGAUCUGUUAUUACAUCAGGGACACAGUCAAGAUGUUAAGAGAUGGAGCUGAGGUUAGGUAAUCCUUAAUUUAUUUCAUCACUAUCAUCAUCAUGCCCUCAGAGACACCAGUAGAGAUCUGGUGCAGGGCACAAAAAUUGCCAGAAACAGCCAUGUGUAUGUAUACAUGUUUGAUGUUUUAUAUUUUAUAUUUGUACCACCUGUUAGCUAAAAUAAUUUUAAAAAAGCAGUAUUGUGUUACACUCACCUCCA